CUGACACCCUGGGAUCCUUCAAGAAGCUGCUUGAUGAGAUUCUGGGAUCAAUAAGCUACUAACAACCAAACGAGCAAGAUGGGCUGAAUGGCCUCCUCUCGUUUGUAAACUUUCUUAUGUUCUUAUGUUCUUACAUCCUCAGUCCCGCCUACCGAGGGGUUAAAACUGUCAUUCCACGGAAGCCAUGUGUCUUUUUGCGUCGAAGCUGUGACGGCUACUGAUGCGACCUCGCUGGUUGGUGAUCAUCUUCUCUUUCAGGGAACCAGGGUUAUGGUUCAAUGUCAAAUAUUUUCUUUGCCAAGACCACUCUGGAACAUGUGGCCACGGUUCAUUCCCUGGACCCUUUUGCUGUCAAAUCUGUACACAAAGGGGGACGUAACACACAUGGACUGGCCUCUCCCAUGCUGCAGCAUUCAGGAUCUCUGCACGGGUAAUUAUCAGCAAGGGGCAUGGUGUCUGUUUUUGCCAGUGAUGAUACUUAUGGAGGGAUUAAAUGUGGACAAGGCAUUAACACCAAGAUGGAUAGAGGCAUUGGGGCAUGUUUUGAUCAUCUAGACAGCUGCAGGUCUUAAAGAGCAACUUGGGUCUGCCCUGAACCCCAGCCUGGCGAUGUCCCUCAGUGUAAUUCCUGCAGGGUGGCAGUGACGGAAGCAGAGCUAGAUGUGCUCUCGGGGAAGUGUCAGGUCAGCCGCGUGGACAUCCUCUUUGACUGCAGGGAAAAGUAGGAACAGAAGGGGAGCUCACUCAUGCCACUGUACUGUCCUUCUUUCUAAAGCUGUGCAAUGGCUCGGCAUCUAAGCCCAGUGAAUUAAGAGAAAAGGCAAAGGCUGUACGUGAAGCUCUAACCUCAUGGUUGAAGGACGUGAGUAAAGAUAAUUGGAAAAGUAAUUCUCCAGUCCUAAUCACUGGACUUUUUAAAUCCUUCUUGCAUACAGUGUUUGAGCGCAUACCUAUAUUACAGCUUUGGAGAAUCUGUAGAGGCUGUUUUUUAAGGGCAGUGUCUACAGUAAACCCUGAUUGUAAUGAAGAAUACUGAUAAAUUGCUGAAACAUCACUUACUAAUUUUACCUUGCAAUAUCUAUAAGCUCAUAGUUUGUUUUCUACUUGUCACCCAGGGAUUGGGGAAGCAAACUGCUGUCAGAGCGAAGGAGAUGCACAAUUUAAAUAAAGGCCCAUUCUCCACGAAAUUGACAUGCAGAAUAGAAAGGACUUGAUGACUGUUGGUCUUUAGAGGUUGUAGUUUCUUUAAAACAGCUGUGAAAAGGGCUAACGUACAGUAACACAAUGGUAAAGCAUCUGAAUUACAACCAACAGCCUUGGGUCCAGUCCCUAACUGCAGGUCACAUAUUCCAUUCAGGCAACUAGAAGCACAUUUAGUGCCUGAAGGAAAGUCCUGCCUGCUUAGUGGUACAAGAGCACGAUCAAAGGGAAGCUCCAAACACCUAAAUGUCGAGGCACACCUG